GCCAGUGUUCAUCUUGUCCCAAUGUAAAGGUUUUAGCCUUGCCGGUGGUGGGAGCUGUCCUUUUUUUGGCGGAGCCCCAGGAACUCCCAUUUGUGGUCUCGGAGGUGGCGGUCUUGCUCCUAGUGGAGGUGGAGGAGGUGCCUUUCCCCCCGGCGGCGGAGGUGGAGGAGGCGCCUUUCCCCCCGAAGGUGGCGGAGGAGGUGGGCGCUUUCCUCCAGGCGGAGGUGGAGGUGGCGGUGCUGUUGACCCUGAUUUUGCCGGAAUUGGUGGUGGAGGAGCAGCUGGUCUUGUAGGCGGCUGCGGUGCCGAUGAAGGAUGAGGAGGUUUUCCAGCCACGGCAGCUGAUGUCUGCACGACCGUAGUAGAAACUGGGCUAAAAGUAGCAGCAGCAGCAGAAGAAGAAGAAGAAGAUGGAG
rnacentral:lncRNA from 1 species